rnacentral:lncRNA from 1 species
CGUUUCCCGGUAAAGAUUACGGUUGCAUAAACUGCUGUUGCCGGAAAGCGGCAACUGUAGCAUACGAAUCAGGGAGUAACGUAACUACACUUUCAUGUAUAAAAGAAGAAGCCGCCUAUAGCAACUGAUUUAAUUUGUGUUAUAAU